CAUGAGCUGAAAUCAAAAAUUGAAAGAAUUCGAAAAGUGAAAUCGAUAUUCAGAAUAAGUUAACAAUUAACAUUUUUUUGAAACUGAAAAACUAAGUUGACUUGGUAGUAUGUCAACUAAAUAUUUUCAUGCAUAUUUACCAAGGUCCAUUUGUCAUCAUUUGCCAAGUGAUGACGACCAUUGUUGAAGCUGGCCAAGAAUUGUAAGCUGUCAUCAAUCCUCAAUCCUGCAGCUAUGCAUGUUUUGUAAACGAUGAAUCUUGUAUGAAUCCAAGAACUUUGAGUCAUCAUUUCACUUAAUUGACUUUCUUUUCCCAUUUCAACAAUGGUGAUAUUGCAGACAUACCAUAUUGCAAGUACUUACCUGAGCAGCUGAGCUCUUCCUUUCUGGGGUUCCUUUCAAUUGAUUCAUUUGAGUUUAAUCCCUUGCUGCUGUUCCAGACCUUAUCCACUAGUGAAAUAUGCAGAGAGAUGUUGAACUUAUUCUAGGUUAACCCUUCACCAUUGUGCUACAAUUUGAAGAAGUUGAUGGUUAAAGAAGAGCUUGCUUUCAAUCAACAACAAUAAAUUAUGUAUAUGUAGAAAACUUACAAGUGCAUUUCUGGGCUCCCUUCUUUUCUGUGGCCC